rnacentral:rRNA from 1 species
AUUGAACGCUGGCGGCAUGCCUUACACAUGCAAGUCGAACGGUAACAGGUCUUCGGAUGCUGACGAGUGGCGAACGGGUGAGUAAUACAUCGGAACGUGCCUAGUAGUGGGGGAUAACUACUCGAAAGAGUGGCUAAUACCGCAUGAGAUCUACGGAUGAAAGCAGGGGAUCGCAAGACCUUGUGCUACUAGAGCGGCCGAUGGCAGGUUAGGUAGUUGGUGGGAUAAAAGCUUACCAAGCCGACGAUCUGUAGCUGGUCUGAGAGGACGAUCAGCCACAGUGGGACUGAUAAACGGCCCAGACUCCUACGGGAGGCAGCAGUGGGGAAUUUUGGACAAUGAGCGCAAGCCUGAUCCAGCAAUGCCGCGUGCAGGAUGAAGGCCUUCGGGUUGUAAACUGCUGUUGUACGGAACGAAAAGCCCCGGGUUAAUACCCUGGGGUCAUGACGGUACCGUAAGAAUAAGCACCGGCUAACUACGUGCCAGCAGCCGCGGUAA